UACGGGGGGGGCAAGCGUUGUUCGGAAUUACUGGGCGUAAAGGGCGCGUAGGCGGCUUUUCAAGUCGGGCGUGAAAUCUCCAGGCUUAACCUGGAAGGGUCGUUCGAUACUGUUAAGCUAGAGUGUGGAAGAGGCUACUGGAAUUCCGUGUGUAGCGGUGAAAUGCGUAGAUAUCGGAAGGAACACCAGUGGCGAAAGCGGCUUCCUGGUCCAGCAUCGACGUUCAGGCACGAAAGCGUGGGGAGCAAACAGG
rnacentral:rRNA from 1 species